GAUGAACGCUGGCGGCGUGCCUAAUACAUGCAAGUCGAGCGAACGGACGAGAAGCUUGCUUCUCUGAUGUUAGCGGCGGACGGGUGAGUAACACGUGGAUAACCUACCUAUAAGACUGGGAUAACUUCGGGAAACCGGAGCUAAUACCGGAUAAUAUUUUGAACCGCAUGGUUCAAAAGUGAAAGACGGUCUUGCUGUCACUUAUAGAUGGAUCCGCGCUGCAUUAGCUAGUUGGUAAGGUAACGGCUUACCAAGGCAACGAUGCAUAGCCGACCUGAGAGGGUGAUCGGCCACACUGGAACUGGGACACGGUCCAGACUCCUACGGGAGGCAGCAGUAGGGAAUCUUCCGCAAUGGGCGAAAGCCUGACGGAGCAACGCCGCGUGAGUGAUGAAGGUCUUCGGAUCGUAAAACUCUGUUAUUAGGGAAGAACAUAUGUGUAAGUAACUGUGCACAUCUUGACGGUACCUAAUCAGAAAGCCACGGCUAACUACGUGC
rnacentral:rRNA from 1 species